AGCGAACGCUGGCGGCGUGCCUAACACAUGCAAGUCGAACGUGAAAAGGGGCAACCCUGAGUAAAGUGGCGUACGGGUGAGUAACACGUAGGUAAUCUACCCAAGAGUCUGGAAUAACCGGCCGAAAGGCUGGCGAAUACUGGAUAGAGCGACGGAAUCCGUAAUUGGGUUUUUCGGGAAAGGGAGGCCGUAAGGUCCCUUGCCUUUGGAUGAGCCUGCGUCCCAUCAGCUAGUUGGUAAGGUAACGGCUUACCAAGGCGAUGACGGGUAGCUGGUCUGAGAGGAUGAUCAGCCACACUGGAACUGAAACACGGUCCAGACUCCUACGGGAGGCAGCAGUGGGGAAUCUUGCGCAAUGGACGAAAGUCUGACGCAGCCACGCCGCGUGAGUGAAGAAGGCCUUCGGGUUGUAAAGCUCUGUCGCCCGGGACGAACGGCCGUAAGGUUAACAGCCUUAUGGAUUGACGGUACCGGGAGAGGAAGCACCGGCUAACUCUGUGCCAGCAGCCGCCGUAA
rnacentral:rRNA from 1 species